GCGUGCUAUACUGCAGUCGAGCGGACAGAAGGGAGCUUGCUCCCGGAUGUUAGCGGCGGACGGGUGAGUAACACGUGGGUAACCUGCCUGUAAGACUGGGAUAACUCCGGGAAACCGGAGCUAAUACCGGAUAGUUCCUUGAACCGCAUGGUUCAAGGAUGAAAGACGGUUUCGGCUGUCACUUACAGAUGGACCCGCGGCGCAUUAGCUAGUUGGUGGGGUAAUGGCUCACCAAGGCGACGAUGCGUAGCCGACCUGAGAGGGUGAUCGGCCACACUGGGACUGAGACACGGCCCAGACUCCUACGGGAGGCAGCAGUAGGGAAUCUUCCGCAAUGGACGAAAGUCUGACGGAGCAACGCCGCGUGAGUGAUGAAGGUUUUCGGAUCGUAAAGCUCUGUUGUUAGGGAAGAACAAGUGCGAGAGUAACUGCUCGCACCUUGACGGUACCUAACCAGAAAGCCACGGCUAACUACGUGCCAGCAGCCGCGGUAAUACGUAGGUGGCAAGCGUUGUCCGGAAUUAUUGGGCGUAAAGGGCUCGCAGGCGGUUUCUUAAGUCUGAUGUGAAAGCCCCCGGCUCAACCGGGGAGGGUCAUUGGAAACUGGGAAACUUGAGUGCAGAAGAGGAGAGUGGAAUUCCACGUGUAGCGGUGAAAUGCGUAAGAUGUGGAGGAACACCAGUGGCGAAGGCGACUCUC
rnacentral:rRNA from 1 species